ACAUAGUAAUCAUGGCUGCUCAUCUGAAAAACGAGUUUACUAGGACUUCUCUAUAGUAACUUUACAUAAAAAUUAUUAUCUAUACUGAUAAAAAAAAUAAUCAUUUUAUUAUACUGAUCGCAGAAUGUAGUUUUAUUUGAAAAUAUUAUAAUACAUACAAACUAAAUGUAGCUGUUAGCAUCAGUGUGAUAAUAACUGUAUCUAUUAUUGUUUCACUUCUUAAGACAUGGAUUAAACAAUUGGAGUCUUAUGAAUUAAUGUUUUGCUGCAUUUAUGUGAUUUUUGAGCUUCAAAGUUUUGAUCACCAUACACUUGUAUUGUAUGGACCCACAGAGCUGAGAUAUUCUUCUUAAAAUCUUCAUUUAUGUUCUGCAGACUAAAGAAAGUCAUACACAGCCUGUAAACUCUUGAGUGAUGAUUACGAGCAGGUUCACUCGGCAGCGGUGCAGAUGGUUUUGGUCUUGAGUCAGCUUUACCAGAGAUCAAAAUGGUGGAUAACUCCUUUGGAAGGAUCUGUCACAUAGUCAGUGAUGGCUCAUGGAUAGUCAGAGUGCAAGCUGCCAAACUGCUGGCUCCAUGUACCAAGUGAGCCCUCAUUUCCUUGAGCAGACUCUGGACAAGAUGCUAAUGUCAGAUCUCGGGGUACUUCACAACAAAAUCUUUAUGUGCUCAAUAAAAGGCUCAUAAAAAUGUGUCCAUCUGUAUUUUUCAUUAAACAUCAAGUAUUCUUCAGAAAAAAAGAGGAAAUGCACUGCUCAUGAACGAGCUGAAGAACUUUAUGCUUCUAGAGAGUCUCAUUUGGAUGCCGGUGGGCUGAUGAUGCUCCAAAAGAGAUAACCUAAUUGACUCUGGUGCCUGUGGGGCAUUUGUUCAUGGGCUAGAAGACGAGAUGUAUGGGGUGCGUAUCACUGCAGGAGAAGUGUUGUGUUCACUUGCUCAGUUGUCAUCCAGAUUUGCUGAGAAGUGUCAUGACUUCCUGUUGGACAUGUUCAAUGAUGAAAUCGAGGACCCAUAUCACCCUCAGAGAAGACCAACUGGACACUGUGCUCGCAGUACUAGAGGUAGACAGAGGCCUGUCAGAUUGAGGUGAGGUUACUUUUGGCCUGCAUCUCCAGCAGCAGUAAACUAUUUGCUGCUAAACCCGCCUGGAAUGAAAGUAUGGAUGGAUGAGGGCACAAUCCAUCUCAGCAAGCCUGUCAAAAUCUUUGUCAUGCCCAAACCAGAGGACAGAGGAUCCCAGACAAUAUAUCUCUUAAAAACAACAGCUAGCACAAGGUGGAGCACUGUCACCAUUUGAAAUUAGAGUUUCUACUCUUUCUGGUUUCUGAAAUAAAUAGUGUUUGUCUAUUUUUAUCACUGGUGUGUGUGUGGGGUGAUGUGUAAUUUUCAAAGCUUACAACCAAACAUAUUUUCAAACGAUUAUUUAAAAGCUUUGUGUAAUUUCUGCACUAAAUGGAACUGAGCACAACAGUCUGGUUCCAGAUGUGAAAAUCACAUUUGUUUAUUUUCCAUAUGAGAAUUGAUAUUUAACUAUAACUUAUAAACCUUUAAACACAGACUACCAUGAGCACAGAGGUUGAUCAAUGGUGUAUGCUACUUGUAAAGCCAACAGUUUUGUUUUUACUUAAUUUUUAAAAAAUGUUUUAAAUGAAUGUUCCGGGUUCAAAACAAGAUAAGCUCAGUCGACAGCAUUUUUUGCAUAAUGCUGAUUACCACAUAACUUGAUUUCCAUUCAUCCCUCCUUUUCUUUAAAAAAAGCAAAAAUCUAGGUUAUAGUGAGACACUUCCAAUGGAAGUGAACGGGGGCAUAUUUUGGAGGGUUUAAACAUAAACGUGAAGCUUAUAAUUUGAUAAAAGCACUUGCAUUAAUUCUUCAGUUAAACGCUUUAAAACUGUUUAAAUCGUAAUUUUAGGGUUAAUGACAUUACAUCGUCAUGGUAACAAUGUUGUAAAAUUGGCUAUAAUUUUCCACAGAAAAGGUUUGUAAAUGAAUUUAUCACACUGAAGUCAUGUUUACAUGCAUAUAUAUACACACACACACACACA